GAUGAACGCUAGCGGAAGGCAUAAUACAUGCAAGUCGAACGGAUGUAGCAAUACAUUAGUGGCGCACGGGUGCGUAACGCGUAUGCAACCUACCUUCAUCAGGGGGAUAACUACCCGAAAGGGUGGCUAACACCGCAUAAUACUACUGAAUGGCAUCAUUUGGUAUUUAAAUCUGAGGAGGAUGAAGAUGGGCAUGCGUCUGAUUAGCUAGUUGGUGUGGUAACGGCGCACCAAGGCGACGAUCAGUAGGGGAACUGAGAGGUUGGUCCCCCACACUGGCACUGGGCUACGGGCCCGACGCCUACGGGAGGCAGCAGUAGGGAAUAUUGGUCAAUGGUGCGAACACUGAACCAGCCAUUCCGCGUGCAGGAAGAAGGGUCUCUGACUUGUAAACUGCUUUAGCAAGGGAAGAAAAAGCUCAUGCGUGAGAAAUUGACGGUACCUUGAGAAUAAGCACCGGCUAACUCUGUGCCAGCCGCCGCUGUAAUAC
rnacentral:rRNA from 1 species